CUAGAGAUAACUCAAUUCCAAACCAACUGGAUAAUAAUUGAAAUAAGAAUGAGAACUUGAUCCAUCAAGUGCACACGAGACGACAACACAGAUUCACAGAUAGGUAAGGGUGUGGCCAAAACAUGUCGUUGUGGUGCUCCCCUUACAACUUUCUUCCCCGUUCUUCAUCUUCUCCCAAUUGCAUUGGCUUAGCAACUCCAAUUCUCUUCUCCUCAGACUUCAAACCUCUCCAAGUUCCCUCCCCUUCCCAGAGAUUCAGAGUUGCAGCUAAAUCGAACUCGGGAACGGAGCCGUCUCCCCCCACAAACACAAGCUUUCUCGCUUUUCUAUGUCCUCUGCUCAAGCUUUUCUCUGGAGGAGAUCCUUCUAAACAUCGCAAUUUCACUUUCGAGGUGGCAACAUCUUCCUUGGCUACCCUCUCAAGAUUUCCAUGGGGAACAAAAUCCAAACGUCACACUUCACUCAACACUCCCAUCACCUCAAAUCUUCCUGUUAAUCUGCAGCUUUUUGAAUUUGAGGCAUGCCCCUUUUGUAGAAGGGUACGAGAGGCCUUGACUGAACUAGAUCUUUCUGUGGAGGUUUAUCCUUGUCCUAAGGGUUCUGUAAGACACAGAGAGGUGGUAAGAAGAACUGGUGGCAAAGAGCAGUUUCCUUUCCUCAUUGAUCAAAAUUGUGGUGUUUCUAUGUAUGAAAGUGGUGAUAUCGUGAAAUACUUGUUUGAGCGAUAUGGAGAAGGUAGAAGUCCAUCAUUGGGUUUACUGGAGAGCACUAUUUUUACUGGAUGGAUGCCAACAAUACUUCGAGCAGGUAGGGGAAUGACCCUUUGGGAACGUUCCAGGCUUGACAUUCCUCCAGGGAAGUUGGAGCUCUUCUCAUACGAAAAUAAUCCAUAUGCACGAAUUGUUCGUGAGGCAUUGUGUGAAUUGGAACUUCCUUACACUCUACAAAACGUUGGAGAAGGAUCUCGCCAGAUUAAGUUACUUUUGGAUGCUUCCGGAUCUAAAGAGGUCAGAUUUAGAUCAACAAAUUUGCUUACGAGUUUAACUGAAAUGAGAUCUGUAUGCUUCCAGAUUCGUUGGUUGUUUGUUCAAAAUUGGAAAUUGAAGUUUUACAGUGGACAACCUUAAGCAAGUAGGUGGUUAUGUCCAAUAAUGAAAAAAAAAAAAUAUUGACAACAGAACACAAUGGUUCCUUACAUGAUUGAUCACAAUACUGGAUUUCAAUCUGGGGACUAUAAGAUGAUCCUAUCUUAUUUGUUUGAAACCUAUUCCACAGCUAUUGUAUGAUUUCCACUCUCUGUAGCCGAAGAAUUUUCGUGCUUUGGAUUGGAAUCACUAUUCACCAACAAGCCUGUACAGAGGUCCAGGGUAUAGGCUAGAGAGGAUUGUAUAAAGUAGAAUAGGACUAAUUAAGUAAAUAUGUGUACAAAAUGGAUAAGUCGACUGAAUCUCUUGAGUCUUGAUUUUAUUUAGAAUAAAAAGUGAUAUGGAGUAGCUUUUUCCA